AUGGCGGCCAUGGAGGCGCCGCACUGCGCGUCCACUUCCUCAGCUUUCCUCGGCCUCCCGCACGCCGGCAACGGCAGGCGGCGCCACGGCAAUUCAUGCCGCUUCGCCGCCAACGCCUGCAGGCUGGCGCCGGUGUCGGCGACGCUGGACAAGGAGACCGCGGCGGCGAAGCCCCGGCGGUCCCGGAACCGCCGGUCCAGGAAGGCGACCAAGUCCUAGUCCACGGCGCUGCUCGCCCCCGACGAGCCGGCGGAGGCCAAGAACGGCGGCGGCGGCGGCGGCGGCAGGGGGAUGGUGGCGCUGGACGAUGUGAUCGUGAACCCGGUGGGGCUCGGCCGGCGCUCCCGGCAGGUGUUCGACGAGGUGUGGCGCAAGUUCUCGCGGCUCGGCCAGAUGUCCAGCGCCUCCUCCUCCGCCGUGGCCGAGCAGGACCCCGCCGUCCUCUUCCGCGGCGGACCCAUGUGCGAGUUCACCGUGCCUGGUGCGCAGGACACCUCCGUGCUCGUCGUCGGCGCCACCAGCCGCAUCGGCCGCAUCGUCGUCCGCAAGCUCAUGCUCCGCGGAUACAACGUCAAGGCGUUAGUCAGGACGAAUGAUCCGGAAGUGAUUGACAUGCUUCCGAGGUCUGUGGACAUCGUGGUUGGCGAUGUCGGUGAUCCUUCUUCAGUUCAGGCUGCCGUUUCAGGUUGCAACAAGGUAAUUUACUGCGCUACCGCACGGUCGACUAUCACCGGAGACCUCAACAAGUCAACAGGGUUGAUAACCAAGGAGUAAGGAAUGUUACCAAGGCUUUCCAGGAUUACUACAAUCAGCUGGCCCAGUCAAGGGCUGGUAAAAGCAGCAAGAGCAAACUGACGAUUGCAAAAUUUAAAUCCGCCAAAUCUGUGAAAGGAUGGGAGGUGCGGCAGGGAUCAUACUUUCAGGAUAUCUACCCUUCUAGAUUCGAUGGAGGCACCGAUGCGUCAUUUGAAUAUUCGGAAAGUGGACAGGCUGUGUUCUCAGGGUUUGUUUUCACAAGGGGUGGCUACGUUGAAAUGUCUAAACGGCUUUCGCUUCCUCUGGGUUCCACCCUGGACAGGUAUGACGGAUUGCUUCUUUCGGUGGGCAGAAAUGGAAGAUCAUAUGUUAUUAUUCUUGAGACUGGUCCGCUAGCUGACACCUCACAGACCAAGAAAUAUUUUGCCCGGAUGAACACAAAAGUUGGAUUUUGCAGAGUGAGAGUGCCGUUUUCAGCUUUCCGGCCAGUAAACCCACAGGAUCCUCCAUUGGACCCGUUUCUUGUGCACACACUAACCAUCAGGUUUGAGCCCAAGAAGCAGAGACCUGGUGAUUCAUCUGAACAAGGAGCUGCUAGUGACCCCAGAAACUUUGAGCUGAAAAUGGAGUUUAUAAAAGCUUUGCCAAGUGGUCAAGAAACAGACAUUGUGCUGGUCUCAUGCACAGGCUCAGGAAUUGAAGCCAACAGGCGAGAACAAGUCCUCAAAGCGAAGAAGGCUGGAGAGGACGCAUUGAGGAGAUCUGGCCUCGGGUAUACGAUUGUGCGCCCAGGUCCGCUGCAGGAAGAACCUGGGGGUCCGCGCGCCUUGAUCUUCGACCAAGGGAGCAGGAUCUCUCAGGGCAUCAGCUGCGCCGAUGUGGCUGACAUCUGCGUGAAAGCGCUGCACGAUUCGACAGCAAGGAACAAGAGCUUCGAUGUUUCCUACGAGCAUGUCUCGGAGCAAGGGAAUGAGCUGUAUGAACUUGUGGCUCAUCUACCUGACAAGGCCAACAACUACCUGUCGCCGGCUCUCUCGGUUCUGGAGAAGAACACCUGAUCUGAUCACCAGUGAAUGAGUGGUGACUAUGAGCUAGCACGACGACUCUACAAGCGAUGCACACACAUUUACAGGUUCUCUUUGGGCUCCCAUUUUCGGUUAAGAUACGGUGUGGGGUCCACAUUCAGAGGGUAGGAGAUUUUUUUGUGUGCGUACUCCCUCAUGUCACUCGUCAAAGAGGACUAGAGGAGCACAAAGGAAGGGACUUUGGAAGCCCAUCCUUUUAGUGUAGUGGCAGUUUCGGAGACUGGGACCCAGAGGCAAUGGAGUGAUCUGGCCCCUGCCAGGCAUGUAGAUGUACGAUAUUAUUGAACAAUGAUGCAUAUAGUUGUUGGCGCAGAACUAGGGCCAACACACAAAAGCGCUAGAACGCGCAAUGAGCGACGGCACAAUGCAACACCGAUGCUCAGAUUGGUCGGGUAUACCGGUCAGACCGGUUGUCGCCGGGCAGGCCGGCGGCGAAACCAACGAACGUCGCCCGGGAAGGACCCGUCAGGGCAGGCGCACGCAGGGUUGUUCUAGGGUCGGCAGGCCACCUAGAACACCCUCAAUCGACGUAGAGACGAAUAAGAAACAGCAGAUAGUAGAUUAGAAAAACUAGGGCAAAAAGAAAAUAUAAAAUGAUAAAAGUGUUUAUAUUUGAUCGAUUGGAUACCCUAAUCGGCCAUGACUCUUUAUAUUUAUAGGGUAGUGUGGACUUAUCCCGCAAAGAAUCCUUUUUACAGAUGGAAACCUACAAAAUAAUCUAAUUACACUCGGACUCCUCAUAGACCGGUCAGACCGGUCGACCCUACCGGUCAGACCGGUCGGCUACUGCCGGAUCAACUACAGCGUCUGACCGGUCAGACCGCUAGGGCGCACCGGUCAAACCGGUCGAUAUUGUCCAAUGUCAAUUUUGGUCGUCAACAUAUGCCCCCCCUGUUCUUUGGCAAAACUUGCGUGCCAAAGAACACUCUUCUGGACCAAAAUUGUCUAAAGGCGAUGAAUACAUCGGCCAUUUUUUGUGCUAAGGGCGAUAACAAUUUAUCGGCCGUAUCUUGUUUCUUCUUCAAGCUGAUGACGAAACAACUUGCUUAGUCCUCCAUACCUGCUUCAUGGUCGCCGACCUCGCUGGUAUAAUCUCCGCAUGUUGUUUCAUGGACUCCUUUUUGCUCAUCCGUUGCAGCCUUCUCUUUUGGGUGUGAGACAAGCCUGAGAGACACUACCUCGGCUGUAGAUAUUUUGAAUUUUGUUUUAUGUCCUCACACUCUUUGCUGCAAUCAAUGUCUUUUUUUACCAGAUUAUCGCUAAUCGGUCUUUGUGAAGCAUAACUCGGAUAUAUAGGAGAAAAAUGAAUAUAAUAUGACUGCAUGUGCAUCCUACCAUAAUCCAAAGGCAUAUAACAAGGAUGCCAGCAAUACCAUGGAGCAAUCAGUCCAUUAAAUGAAUUAUCUUGUCUCAAACUCGAUUGCUUUUGAGACGAUGAUGACUUUGCAUUCUUGACUUUGUCUGGCCGUCCCCUCUGCUUCUGGAUGACUUCUUUCUUCUCAUAUUUGGCCAAGAGUUCUUUAAAACUCGGCCUUUCUUUUUUUUCUGGAAUUUUUUCCAGAAUUCUAAGAUUGACCGGUCAGACCGGUUUCUAGACAGGUCAAACCGGUCUUAGCAGACCUGGUGCCUUUGUUCUUAUCUUCCCCCCCCCCCCCCCGAGCAUUGAAUUCUUCAAUGAGUCUUUAGGGACUUUCUUUGCUGGAGCUUUCUGGCGAGAUUUUGAAAGCUCAGGUCUCUCUUCACCAACAAUUAUAUUUUUUCUCUUUUGCCGAUUCGGCUUGAUUUGGCCGAAUUAACACUUUGGGAUUAUUCAAUCCAAGCAUGUGUGUAUGUGCAGGGAAAAGAUUCUGAUCCACCUUCAUUUGUGCAACAAUUAUUCGGCCUUCAUUAACAGCCGAUUGAAUUUGUCUCCGGAGCACAUUGCAAUCAUUAGUUGCAUGAGAGAAAGUAUUGUGAAACUUGCAAAAACCUCGCCGCUUUAAUUCUUCAAGUGGCGGUAUGACAUGCGACAUCUUGAUGUAUCCUUUUUUAUAUAAUUCAUCAAAUAUCCUCUCGCAUUUGGAUACAUCAAAAGUGAAUCUUUGUUGCCGAUCUUUGUGAAUCUGUUUAAGAGAACCACAAACGCAAGGUUUAUCAUUAGAGGGCCAAACAAAUUCAGCGGUAUAAACAUCUUUACCUUCAUUGUCCGAACAAAUGGAAUCACACCCAAGCACAUAAACAGGACGAUUAGGUUUUUCGUUGGACUUUUGAGAAUCUCUAGCCUCCUUAACUCGGCUUUCAUUAGCCAGAGCUUUUUGCAAGACUUGACUAACAUCUAGGAAUCAUUGUCCCUCUAGCUUUGCUUUAUGAAAAUCAAGUAAACCAGCAAAAGCUAGAUCGGCCAAAUCUCUAUCAGAAAUUGUCAAACUAUAGCAUUGGUUUCUAGUAUCUCUAAAUCUUCUAAUAUACUCAGAAACACCUUCGUGUAUUUUUUGUUUAACCGAUAAAAGAUAGGGUAAAAGAUAUGACAAUCUCAAUUCAGUUUCACCAGUAAAGAAAUAAUCAUGGAAUUUCUGCUCUAAAUCAGCAAAAGUGAAAACUGAAUUUUCUGGCAAUGAAAUAAACCAAGUAAAUGCAGCAUCCGAUAGAGAUAAAGGAAAUAACCUCAAUUUAUAAAUGUCAUUAGUGCUAGCCUCACCACAUUGUAUAAUAAAUUGACCAAUAUGCUCCAAUGUAGUUCUACUAUCAUCACCAGUGAAUUUAACAAAUUCAGAAAUUUUAAACCCUUGAGGAUAUGCAACAUAAUCGUAAUUCUCAGGGUAUGGUCUUUGAUAAGUUCGGCAUUUGGCUUUAGAUUCUAUACCAAAGGUUUGCCGAAAUAUCUUCAUCACCUCCUCUUUAAUACUACCUGAUCCAACAUCAUCGGUAUUAGGCCGAUUUGUGAUCGGUGUAUUAUUAGGUUGAGUAAAGUUCAGCGGUGUAGAAUGUCGCAACGAACUCGCUGCCUCAUAUGGCACAUUGGCAUUAGUUGAUGCAUUAUAAUUAAUUCGGCUACGCUGAUUAGCCGAAUUAGUCACAAUAGCAUUAUUAGUUGGAAUUGCCGAACUACCCGUUGUCUUAUCGGUAUUAGACGUAGACACAUCAUUACUAACAGACUUCAUACCGAGAUGUAUCUCAAUUCGGCUAAAACAAUUAUCAAACAUAUCAUGCAUAUUUUGACCAAUAAAUUCCAACUUAUUAUUCA